UACGGAGGGGGCUAGCGUUGUUCGGAAUUACUGGGCGUAAAGCGCACGUAGGCGGCUUUGCAAGUUAGAGGUGAAAGCCCAGGGCUUAACCCUGGAAUUGCCUUUAAAACUGCAUCGCUAGAAUUGUGGAGAGGUAAGUGGAAUUCCCGGUGUAGCGGUGAAAUGCGCAGAUAUCGGGAGGAACACCGGUGGCGAAGGCGGUUCUCUGGGCCUGUUCUGACGCUGAGGAGCGAAAGCGUGGGGAGCGAACAGG
rnacentral:rRNA from 1 species